GGAAUACGGAGAGUGGACACCAGCUUGCGCCCCGAGCAUCCUCAGAGGGCAGGAGCGGCCCCGAGAUACCUCAGGUCAUCCGCUGUGUCCACACGUUAAGAAACGCUGGUGGAGUUUUAAAUGCCUUUCCAGGGAAGGAGGGAAGCCGGAAAAUGAAUCUGACCUCAGACCCAAAUCCAUUCAACCAAGUUCUGGUAAUCUGGAAGAAGGAAGAACAGCCUGGAAACUGGCGGGAAAGGAUAACGAAUUGGGAGUCACAGGGUCCUGGAUUGGGACUGGCCAGUAGAAUUACUGCUCAGCAGAUAUUUGAUCAAGGCUGAGGCCUAGAAGGGCAGCAGACUGGGAGCAUGUCUGAGGAACGCAUCCAAACAAGAUGCCUCUGGCAGCUUCCAAGGAGUCAAAGAAGUCAAUCAGCCCCAUUUGCCUCCAUGCCCAAGUCUCCGUGGAGGUGAACUGCAGCCCUUAUCCACCCCACCCUCCCCAUCCAGCAACGGCUCCCUCAGGAAAAGGGGAAAGAAGACCAGAGCAUGCACCUGUGAUGGAGGUUGCUGGAGAACACCAGGAGACAGUGGCAGGCCUGGGCCCAGCUCCCUCAUGCUGCUCUUCCCAGGCAGCUGCGACUGUGAUCCCCCUCCCCCUCCUCAACCCCCAGGCCACCUGCCUCUGAUGCUUUUUUAGCUCCUGAGCUCAAAGACCUGCUGUUUCCGCUCAGCAUCUCGCUUGUCAUCCUGUCCUCCGCACAGACCUCUAGGCUGUCAGUGGGCAGGCAGAGGAAGUGAGGUCCCAGCGAGAAGCCAGACUGAGCAGUUUCACUCUAGCCCUGAGAAUUCAGGAGAACCCCUUCUAAAGGGGCAGAAGGCAGCCCUAGCCCUGGGGAUGCAGCAUUUGGGGGGCCAAGGUGACCCCUGGAUUUGAGUCCUUCCUGCAACCUCAAAGCUAGAAUUCACCGUGAUGGGGCCAGCUUCUCCCUGGAGCCAGCCACCUGCUGCUGCUGUCUCGGACAGCCCUUUUUGCUCUGUGGUCUAUAAGGCUGACCUCAGGAGGUGGGUCUGGGUGGGUAGGAUGGGGAGAGGAAAGGAAUCUACCUCGUGUCAGGCACAGCCUCCGGUUGCCACAGCCAGGGUCCUCAACUGUGAACUCCACAAGGGCUGGGGGUGGGCAAGGGGACCACAUAAGUCCUGGGGAGAAUCUUGUGGAACUCACUACCUAUGUACACAAGCUACCAGCCCAACCUGCACAGCUGUCUGAAGGCACAAGGUUGGGGAAGGCUGCCCCCUAGAGCCAGGAUUGAAGAAUUCUUUAUGGACAUUCGGCCGUGCUUUGCUUUGUGUACUGAAUGAAUAUUUAUCGAGUUCCUACCUGGGCACCUGGUAUUAUACUAGGCACUGGGAAUACAGAAGUGAUCGAGGCAGGCAUAAAGUGAGUAACUAUCACAGUUUGCCCUAUGUUGAGGGGCUCUGGGAUGUGGAACUUUUGUGGUAAAACUGGAAAAGUUCCUGGUAAAUCAGGAUGAGUAAAUCACCCUGAGAUAAGCCCCUGUCUUCCUGGAGAUUAUAUUCCAAUAGAGACAGCAGGAGUAGGGGUGGAAAGGAUAAAUACAAUUUCUUGUCAUGGUAAGUGCUGUGGAGGAAAUAAAACAGAGCUCUGAGGGGGUAAUUUUUCUUUUUUUUUAAGAAGUCUUGCUUUGUCACCAAGGCUGGAGUGCAGUGGUGACGAAGCAAGACUCCUGCCUUCUGCACAGACCUCUAGGCUGUCAGUGGGCAGGCAGAGGAAGUGAGGUCUCAAGGAGAAGCCAGACUCCUCUCUGAGAUUGCCGUGAGCUAUCUCAGCUCACUGCAGCCUCCGCCUCCCAGGUUCAAG